rnacentral:rRNA from 1 species
GAUGAACGCUAGCUACAGGCUUAACACAUGCAAGUCGAGGGGCAUCAGGAAGAAAGCUUGCUUUCUUUGCUGGCGACCGGCGCACGGGUGAGUAACACGUAUCCAACCUGCCCUUUACUCGGGGAUAGCCUUUCGAAAGAAAGAUUAAUACCCGAUGGCAUAAUGAUUCCGCAUGGUUUCAUUAUUAAAGGAUUCCGGUAAAGGAUGGGGAUGCGUUCCAUUAGGUUGUUGGUGAGGUAACGGCCCACCAAGCCUUCGAUGGAUAGGGGUUCUGAGAGGAAGGUCCCCCACAUUGGAACUGAGACACGGUCCAAACUCCUACGGGAGGCAGCAGUGAGGAAUAUUGGUCAAUGGGCGCUAGCCUGAACCAGCCAAGUAGCGUGAAGGAUGAAGGCUCUAUGGGUCGUAAACUUCUUUUAUAUAAGAAUAAAGUGCAGUAUGUAUACUGUUUUGUAUGUAUUAUAUGAAUAAGGAUCGGCUAACUCCGUGCCAGCAGCCGCGGUAAUACGGAGGAUCCGAGCGUUAUCCGGAUUUAUUGGGUUUAAAGGGAGCGUAGGUGGACUGGUAAGUCAGUUGUGAAAGUUUGCGGCUCAACCGUAAAAUUGCAGUUGAUACUGUCAGUCUUGAGUACAGUAGAGGUGGGCGGAAUUCGUGGUGUAGCGGUGAAAUGCUUAGAUAUCACGAAGAACUCCGAUUGCGAAGGCAGCUCACUGGACUGCAACUGACACUGAUGCUCGAAAGUGUGGGUAUCAAACAGGAUUAGAUACCCUGGUAGUCCACACAGUAAACGAUGAAUACUCGCUGUUUGCGAUAUACAGUAAGCGGCCAAGCGAAAGCAUUAAGUAUUCCACCUGGGGAGUACGCCGGCAACGGUGAAACUCAAAGGAAUUGACGGGGGCCCGCACAAGCGGAGGAACAUGUGGUUUAAUUCGAUGAUACGCGAGGAACCUUACCCGGGCUUAAAUUGCAGUGGAAUGAUGUGGAAACAUGUCAGUGAGCAAUCACCGCUGUGAAGGUGCUGCAUGGUUGUCGUCAGCUCGUGCCGUGAGGUGUCGGCUUAAGUGCCAUAACGAGCGCAACCCUUAUCUUUAGUUACUAACAGGUUAUGCUGUGGACUCUAGAGAGACUGCCGUCGUAAGAUGUGAGGAAGGUGGGGAUGACGUCAAAUCAGCACGGCCCUUACGUCCGGGGCUACACACGUGUUACAAUGGGGGGUACAGAAGGCAGCUAGCGGGUGACCGUAUGCUAAUCCCAAAAGCCUCUCUCAGUUCGGAUCGAAGUCUGCAACCCGACUUCGUGAAGCUGGAUUCGCUAGUAAUCGCGCAUCAGCCACGGCGCGGUGAAUACGUUCCCGGGCCUUGUACACACCGCCCGUCAAGCCAUGGGAGCCGGGGGUACCUGAAGUACGUAACCGCAAGGAUCGUCCUAGGGUAAAACUGGUGACUGGGGC